GAAAUAUAUCUGUAUCUUUCAGCUUGCAUACCGGAAAAAAAAAGAGAACAAUAUUUUUGAAAGCUCUGAUCCUGUUUAUGCAUCUACAUAUACUGCCAGAGGAGAUAACACUCUUCUGAUAAGAGGCCUGCACUUUGUAUCUCUAUAUUUGAUUAUGUUCUCCAGAGGUAAGUGUUUCUUCUUCACCUAACACAUGCUGCUUACUUGUGGAUGAGCGGAGGACAGCAGUGUAGCAAGGAAGAAAUACACAGAAAACAGGCCCCAGAGAGCUGCAGCCAGCCUUCCAAGGAGGGCUCUGAACAUUUGCUUUACUGAACGCAGCUGAAACCUUUUAUUUGAAGUCAGUUCAAGCGACGAACAUACCUCUGCCAAUGCUGCGGAUCACUGGCCAGCCACUUGCUCUGAGAUGAAGCUACAGUGUACUAGGGUCCACUGGCAUGACAGAUGCAAAGGAAGAAGAUAUUCUCACCCAGAAAGGAGCAGAUCUCAGUGUCUAACAGUGCCGUCUCCCCAAGGAAAAGCUUGUUGCAGAAGUUCAGCAUGUAUUUUGUUCCAAAUGGCAUCCACAGCAAACUUUAAGGCUCCAACUACACUGGGACCUUGUCAUCACUCGCUGACAUUACAGCUCCUCACUGAUGAGCACUGGCAUUGCUGGGGAGCAGACAGAAAGCUAUUGGAGGAAGGAGGAUAUUUACACAAUGGGAACCCAUCCCUCCUGUUAUCAUAAGCUGUCAUGGGCCAGUAGGCGAUGUGCACUGGCUACACCACGUACCUCUUGUUCCUUUUUCUUUCUCCUGGCAAUGGACAUUCUGCUGGCCCCUUUCCCAGUCCAAGCUAGUCAACUUGAGACAGCUCCAAGCCACAAAAUUGGUUCCAGUUUGUGAAUCUCCCAGAGCUCGGGAUAGAGUUUUAUUCUCACAUCUAGCUAGAAGGCUGCUUCACAUAACAGAAUCACUUCUUUCAAAAAUCUGAAGUGUAGCUUAUGUUGUUAACAGGUCCACGUAUGAAAUUAUUUCAAUGAUUUUUCUUUGUAUUUUCAAUCUAGUCUGGCCUUCCCAAAGGGAACUGAAAUAUAACUCCAUGGAUAUUUGCCUACCCUGACUUUCAGCUGGGCUUAGUGCUUAAUUUCCUCAGGAGCCUUUCCUCAGGAAACUCCCAGCUGUGUGAUUUCUGAAGGCUCCCUUCAAAGGCAGCUCAUCUCGUCUCUCUGCCCUGCCUCUCUAGGAAAUCUCCCUUCGGCUGUCCGCAGUGACAAGCUCCACUUGUGCACCCGGUUGCUUUAAAAUAAAAAUAAAAAAAAAAUUACGUGCUGCUUCA
rnacentral:lncRNA from 1 species